rnacentral:rRNA from 1 species
UACCUACGGGGGGCAGCAGUGGGGGAUAUUGGACAAUGGGGGGAACCCUGAUCCAGCGACGCCGCGUGAGUGAAGAAGUAUUUCGGUAUGUAAAGCUCUAUCAGCAGGGAAGAUAAUGACGGUACCUGACUAAGAAGCCCCGGCUAACUACGUGCCAGCAGCCGCGGUAAUACGUAGGGGGCAAGCGUUAUCCGGAUUUACUGGGUGUAAAGGGAGCGUAGGUGGCAGGGCAAGUCAGAUGUGAAAACCCGGGGCUCAACCCCGGGAGUGCAUUUGAAACUGUCCAGCUGGAGGGCAGGAGAGGG